GACGAACGCUGGCGGCGUGCUUAACACAUGCAAGUCGAACGAUGACGGUGGUGCUUGCACCGCCUGAUUAGUGGCGAACGGGUGAGUAACACGUGAGUAACCUGCCCCCCACUUCGGGAUAACCUCGGGAAAUCGUGGCUAAUACCGGAUAUGAGCACUCAUCGCAUGGUGGGUGUUGGAAAGAUUUAUCGGUGGGGGAUGGACUCGCGGCCUAUCAGUUUGUUGGUGAGGUGAUGGCUCACCAAGACGAUGACGGGUAGCCGGCCUGAGAGGGCGACCGGCCACACUGGGACUGAGACACGGCCCAGACUCCUACGGGAGGCAGCAGUGGGGAAUAUUGCACAAUGGGCGAAAGCCCUGAUGCAGCGACGCCGCGUGGGGGAUGACGGGCCUUCCG
rnacentral:rRNA from 1 species